rnacentral:rRNA from 1 species
CAGCCGCCGCGGUAAUACGUAGGUGGCAAGCGUUAUCCGGAUUUAUUGGGCGUAAAGCGAGCGCAGGCGGUUUGAUAAGUCUGAUGUGAAAGCCUUCGGCUUAACCGGAGAAGUGCAUCGGAAACUGGAUAACUUGAGUGCAGAAGAGGGUAGUGGAACUCCAUGUGUAGCGGUGGAAUGCGUAGAUAUAUGGAAGAACACCAGUGGCGAAGGCGGCUACCUGGUCUGCAACUGACGCUGAGACUCGAAAGCAUGGGUAGCGAACAGGAUUAGAUACCCUGGUAGUCCAUGCCGUAAACGAUGAGUGCUAGGUGUUGGAGGGUUUCCGCCCUUCAGUGUCGGAGCUAACGCAUUAAGCACUCCGCCUGGGGAGUACGACCGCAAGGUUGAAACUUAAAGGAAUUGGCGGG